rnacentral:rRNA from 1 species
AUACGUAGGGGGCGAGCGUUGUCCGGAAUGAUUGGGCGUAAAGGGCGCGUAGGCGGCCCGGUAAGUCUGGAGUGAAAGUCCUGUUUUUAAGAUGGGAAUUGCUUUGGAUACUGUCGGGCUUGAGUGCAGGAGAGGUAAGUGGAAUUCCCAGUGUAGCGGUGAAAUGCGUAGAGAUUGGGAGGAACACCAGUGGCGAAGGCGACUUACUGGACUGUAACUGACGCUGAGGCGCGAAAGGGUGGGGAGCAAACAGGAUUAGAUACCCUGGUAGUCCACACUGUAAACGAUGAAUGCUAGGUGUAGGGGGUAUCGACCCCUUCUGUGCCGCAGUCAACACAAUAAGCAUUCCGCCUGGGGAGUACGGCCGCAAGGUUGAAACUUAAAUGAAUUGGCGGGG